rnacentral:rRNA from 1 species
UACGUAGGGGGCGAGCGUUAUCCGGAUUUAUUGGGCGUAAAGCGUGCGUAGGCGGUUUGUUAAGUUUAAGAUAAAAGCCCGGAGCUUAACUCCGGUUCGUCUUAAAAACUGGCAGGCUUGAGUGCGGUAGAGGUAAAUGGAAUUUCUAGUGUAGCGGUGAAAUGCGUAGAUAUUAGAAGGAACACCAGUGGCGAAGGCGAUUUACUGGGCCGUAACUGACGCUGAGGCACGAAAGCGUGGGUAGCAAAUA